UAUACAUGGAGGGCUCCAUACAAACCUUUAGCUGAACAUGGGUAAAAUGCAAAGAUCUACAUGACAGAUGACAAAGCCAAGCCAAAGUCUACAUGAAUGGCAUCUUUGCCAGACCCAUGACUUCUAGUGGCACCAGGGGCAUUUCUGGGGCAGGACUAGGACCAUCACUGAAGCUCUCAGCUUUGUUGUCGUUUUAAGAAUGACUUGAGCACCUGAAUCCAUCAACAUCAUCAUCAGUCACCAGUUGGAUCCUCUUUACCUUCUUGGUGAACGUGUUACCCUCACUGCAACAUGGAUUUGACAUUUGGGCCUAACUGUUAGCAUCACCAUCAGACUCAGCAGAGAAGACAAAACACUCCUUCCCAGUAAUGGAGCAGCGGAAGUUCAUUGGUCUCAAAGAGCCUCCUCCCUGAUUGCUCACCUGCCACCCUUCUCAAGCCCAGUAAACUGUA